GUGGGGAAUAUUGCACAAUGGAGGAAACUCUGAUGCAGCGACGCCGCGUGAGUGAAGAAGGUCUUCGGAUCGUAAAACUCUGUCCUUGGUGAAGAUAAUGACGGUAGCCAAGGAGGAAGCCCCGGCUAACUACGUGCCAGCAGCCGCGGUAAUACGUAGGGGGCUAGCGUUGUCCGGAUUUACUGGGCGUAAAGGGUGAGUAGGCGGUUGCAUAAGUCAGAUGUAAAAGGCUAAGGCUUAACCAUAGUAUGCAUUUGAAACUGUGUGACUUGAGUACAGGAGAGGUAAGCGGAAUUCCUAGUGUAGCGGUGAAAUGCGUAGAUAUUAGGAGGAACACCAGUGGCGAAGGCGGCUUACUGGACUGUAACUGACGCUGAGUCACGAAAGCGUGGGUAGCAAACAGG
rnacentral:rRNA from 1 species